UAAAAAAAAAAAAAAUACAGAAGCACCACCGCCGUCUCCACGUCCCAGAAGAAACCGCAUCAGCCUGCGUCGCCGGAAUUGGCUAACUCGAAGAACCUUAGCUUCUAGCCGCCAGCAUCAUCAAUCAUGAAAUUCGCCACCACAGUGACCACUCGUUCUCAAUUGAAGGUGCCAGCCUCUUCUACGUGUUCUUCCCUCACCUUCCCCGCCGAGAUAGCUGUCAGAACUCUCCAGCACUGCCCCAUCGCCUUCCUGCUCUGUUCAGCCGCCGUCGGCCUGCACGGUGUCCGGCCGCUCCAUGCCCAACCACGGCCACCACCACGCUCCCCUCCCCUUGAAACACAACGACCCCCACCACCCUCACCGAGGAUCAUCAGAGCCGCCGCCGCCAUGGACAACACCACCUUUCUGGCUUUCUCCAUUGCUCGUUGUCGUCAGCUUCGCCGCCGUGUGCCCAUGAGGCAAAUUUUUCGUCCGAAGGAGUGGCAGGGAUAUGCAAGACCAUUGGACAUGACAUUGCUUAAUAUCGACAUCUUUAUCAAGACAUGAGAAGUGAUCAACAAGAUUUUAAUGAGGUACAUGAUGGUGUUCUAUCUAAGAUCAGGUCUACACUAUCUUAUUUUGAAGGAAAGUAUGAUCCACAUGCUUACAUUAAAUAGGAGCUAGCGGUUGAUAAAGAAUUUCAAAAGCUUAACUUGUCUGAGAAACAUAUAGUUAUGUAUUAAAAAUGCUUCUUAUUAUUAGAAACAUAUUUGUAGGCCUAACAAAAUAUCUCAAUCUUGAAAAGUCCUAAAAAUGAUAUUUGAGAUAUGUUUAUGUUGCCAUGUAUUAUGCUGAUAUUCUGCUCAACAAAUUACAAUGUUUAAAAUAGAAUAUCAGAAAUGUUACUUCGUACUAUCAUGAUAUACAUGCUUGUUUAUUACGUUGUGGUUUAGAUAAAUGCGAAGAAGCUACAAAAUUAAGGUUUUUACGUGGGCUUAACAAAGAAAUUCAGGACAUGCUUGCUUGUCAAAGUUAUAGCUCAUUUUCUCAUUUGCUACAACUUGCUUGCAACGCGCAAAGAGAAAUUGAGGAUGCAAGAAACAACAAGUUGUACAUGUGCCUCCUAUUACCAGUAAUUUUCAGGAAGUAAACAAUUGCCAAAAGGAGGAGAGAAACAUGAUGUAGCCACCGUUCUCAUCCCUGGAGCUGGAGUCCAUUGCACCUCCAUCAUAUGAAGAGAGCAUCAAAGAUGAUAAACCCUGAAGUUGGGAGGAAAAUCAGACUAAAGUGAGGAGAAUUAUGUAUCCAUACAAGGAUGGGUUGUGAACUUCAUCAAAACAUCAGAGAAUCAGCCAAAAAUACCGAAGAAUGAAUAGAGGAAGUCUAGGGGAGGACAUGGGCUAAAGGCCAGGUCAGAUGGGCCCAGCCCAGGUUCGGCCGAACCUCCUGGUUUAGCCGAACCCUGGUGAUCACCGUUGAUACCAGGUUUUGGCAUGGAUGCUCCAGAUCACUCCCUGAUGGCGGUUGUGGGGCACUUCGGACAUUUCCCCUUCGCCAACCGUCAUACCUACCUCUAUAUAAAGGCUUCACUCCCUCACUUCACACACACACUUCCAAGCUUCCAAGCUUGAACUGAAUUAUAAGAUGCUCUAUUGUAUUAUAUUGUAUACUAGAAUAGGAAGAGAGUAGAGUAGAAGAAGUAGGAAGAAUUCCGGAGUUGUCAGUAAUCUUCUCCUAUUUCUUUUAUUCUGUUUAUUACUCUGAAUUCAAUAUAA